ACUCAAAUGAAUUGACGGGGACCUGCACAAGCGGUGGAGCGCGUGGUUUAAUUCGUCACAAAGCGUAGAACCUUACCAAGGCUUGACAUCCCGAGAAGUCCCUGGAAACAGGGAUGUGCCGCAAGGAACUCGGUGACAGGUGCUGCACGGUCGUCGUCAGCUCGUGCUGUGAAGUGUCCCGUUCAGUCGGUUAACGAGCGCAACCCUUAUCCUGUGUUAUAUUUGUCACAGGAAACUGCCCCAGUUAAUGGGGAGGAAGGUGAGGAUGACGUCAGAUCAGCGUGGCUCUUACGCCUUGGGCCACACACACGCUACAAUGGGAAGGACAAUGGGUCGCCAAACCGUGAGGUGGAGCUAAUCCCACCAAACCUUCCCCCAAUUCGGAUUGCAGGCUGCAACUCGCCUGCAUGAAGUCGGAAUCGCUAGUAACGGCCAAUCAGCUACGUGGCCGUGAAUACGUUCUCAGGUCUUGUACACACCGCCCGU
rnacentral:rRNA from 1 species